GCGGCCUAUCAGCUUGUUGGUGAGGUAAUGGCUCACCAAGGCGACGACGGGUAGCCGGCCUGAGAGGGCGACCGGCCACACUGGGACUGAGACACGGCCCAGACUCCUACGGGAGGCAGCAGUGGGGAAUAUUGGGCAAUGGAGGAAACUCUGACCCAGCGACGCCGCGUGAGGGAUGAAGGCCUUCGGGUUGUAAACCUCUUUCAGUAGGGAAGAAGCGAAAGUGACGGUACCUACAGAAGAAGCACCGGCUAACUAUGUGCCAGCAGCCGCGGUAAUACAUAGGGUGCAAGCGUUGUCCGGAAUUAUUGGGCGUAAAGAGCUCGUAGGUGGUUCGAUACGUCGGAUGUGAAAAUCAGGGGCUCAACCCCUGACCUGCAUCCGAUACGGUCGAGCUAGGGUUUGGUAGGGGAGACUGGAAUUCCU
rnacentral:rRNA from 1 species